rnacentral:lncRNA from 1 species
CUCUUCAUACUAGCACAGAAAUAGAUAAAUAAUGUGCAAAUGGGGGGGAUGCUACUCUUGAAUACAAUGUAUUCCGCAUUAUAAUUGAUGUUACUUUAAAAAAUGUAAAAAACUGUCAAACGGAUAACAUUGAUUACGCCAUUAUUGUUUUGUGUCAUGGAUGAGCCUGAUAUAUUCAGGUUAGAGUAAAAUGAUAGGUAACGUUAUUUUAGACACACAAAAUAAAGAACACAACUGUUUUGGUCACAUCCAUAUGAUAAAAGC